rnacentral:rRNA from 1 species
UGGGGAAUUUUGGACAAUGGGGGCAACCCUGAUCCAGCAACGCCGCGUGAAUGAAGAAGGCCUUAGGGUUGUAAAGUUCUUUUAUCUGAGAGCAAAUGCUAUGCAUGAAUAUUGCAUGGAGCUGAGAGUAUCAGAGGAAUAAGCACCGGCUAACUACGUGCCAGCAGCCGCGGUAAUACGUAGGGUGCGAGCGUUAAUCGGAAUUACUGGGCGUAAAGGGUGAGUAGGCGGAUAUAUAAGUUAGAUGUGAAAUUCCCGAGCUUAACUUGGGGUGUGCAUUUAAGACUGUAUGUCUAGAGUUUGUCAGAGGGUGGUAGAAUUCCAAGUGUAGCAGUGAAAUGCGUAGAGAUUUGGAGGAAUACCGGUGGCGAAGGCGGCCACCUGGGAUAGAACUGACGCUGAGUCACGAAAGCGUGGGUAGCAAACAGGAUUAGAUACCCCGGUAGUCC